CACCACUGGUUCGGGCCGUCAGCAUGGAAUUGUACAACCUGCUAUUUCAGUGUGUGUAGACCCUGACCACCACCAUCCAAGCGAUGCAGCAACUCAUAUUGUCCGACGGUGAUGGUGGCGUAGUAGGUCAAUGCUGUAUUGACGGCAGUAGCAGCAUAGUCGACCAAUGUUACACCAGUGGUGGAGCCGUAACCUGCCAAACCUAUAUAGCUGCCCGCAUCGCCACC
rnacentral:lncRNA from 1 species